ACGAACGCUGGCGGCAUGCCUAAUACAUGCAAGUCGAACGAGACCUUCGGGUCUAGUGGCGCACGGGUGCGUAACGCGUGGGAACCUGCCCUUAGGUUCGGAAUAACUCCCCGAAAGGGGUGCUAAUACCGGAUAAUGUCUUCGGACCAAAGAUUUAUCGCCUUUGGAUGGGCCCGCGUUGGAUUAGCUAGUUGGUAGGGUAAAAGCCUACCAAGGCGACGAUCCAUAGCUGGUCUGAGAGGAUGAUCAGCCACACUGGGACUGAGACACGGCCCAGACUCCUACGGGAGGCAGCAGUGGGGAAUAUUGGACAAUGGGCGAAAGCCUGAUCCAGCAAUGCCGCGUGAGUGAUGAAGGCCUUAGGGUUGUAAAGCUCUUUUACCCGGGAUGAUAAUGACAGUACCGGGAGAAUAAGCUCCGGCUAACUCCGUG
rnacentral:rRNA from 1 species